GCCGGGGUGCCCGAGCGGUCAAGGGGCUGGCCUGGAGAGCCAGUAGGCGCAAGCCUUCGCGGGUUCGAAUCCCGCCCCCGGCG
rnacentral:tRNA from 1 species